rnacentral:rRNA from 1 species
UACGUAGGGCGCAAGCGUUGUCCGGAAUUAUUGGGCGUAAAGAGCUCGUAGGCGGUCUGUCGCGUCUGCCGUGAAAACCCGAGGCUUAACCUCGGGCCUGCGGUGGAUACGGGCAGACUAGAGGUAGGUAGGGGAGAAUGGAAUUCCCGGUGUAGCGGUGAAAUGCGCAGAUAUCAGGAGGAACACCGAUGGCGAAGGCAGUUCUCUGGGCCGUAACUGACGCUGAGGAGCGAAAGCGUGGGGAGCGAACAGG